AUGUUUCUUAGAGCUCACUCGAACUGGAUUUUAGAACUGAUGAAGACGGGAGAGCGUAAUGAUCUUGUCUCACAAAAGAUUUGGUGGCAUCGGAAAUUAUUAGAUGACUAAAUGAUUCCAUGUUUUGUCGGAAUUAUCGAUGCGAAUAUUGUCUGAAUACUUCACAUGGUGACUUGAAAAGAUGACUGAAUUUUCACAUGGCAAUUGUCAUAGUGUUCACAUGAUGAUUUGACAUGAUGACUGAAUUUUCACAUGGUAAUUUAUUAUGUUCACAUGGCCUUAUGCAAAAGGGUCUUGCGAAUCUUGGUAGUCGACCCACUUGGCUGACUGUGUUUUUUGACUUAUCGAAUUGGCUGAUUGCUGUGAGAAUGCAUUUGAAGAUUCGGAGUCUGAAGGUUCUUCUUUAGUGUGGAGCAUCGUUGUUUUUGCAAGUAAUUGUUGUGCUAAAUCUUGGAGUUUAGUGACUAUUCUUCUUUGAGCCUGACGAUUUGUGAGACUUGACUAUUCAUUUGAGGGAUGAGGAUGGACAUAUGUCUGAUAAUGAUUGAGCUGGAAUAGCUCGCAUUACUGGCUGUGCUGGGAUGACUGGAGGAGGAGUAAUGGGGAAUUCAGAGAGAACCAGACUGAUGACCCUCUAAUGGUUGAAUUUAUCCUACCACUUGACUGAUUUGACUCUGUUGACUUCACCGGUUUCAACUUCAUAUCACUUCAAGAUCCAUGAGACUUUGUAUUUGGCCAUUAAUAAUGAGGGGAGUGUAAUUCUGUAAUUAAACCUGCUUCUGUCAAAUUUUUGUUGAAAACUGGUUGAGAGAACCUGCAUAAGCUCAUAUGGCAGUAUAUUGGCUAUUGGCCCAUGAAUUAACCAUC
rnacentral:sRNA from 1 species